UACGUAGGGUGCGAGCGUUAAUCGGAAUUACUGGGCGUAAAGCGUGCGUAGGCGGUUCGUUAAGUUCGUUGUGAAAGCCCCGGGCUCAACCUGGGAACUGCAAUGGAAACUGGCGGGCUUGAGUUCGGGAGAGGGAAGCGGAAUUCCGGGUGUAGCGGUGAAAUGCGUAGAUAUCUGGAGGAAUACCGGUGGCGAAGGCGGCAUCCUGGACCGGCAUUGACGCUGAGGAGCGAAAGCCAGGGGAGCAAACGGG
rnacentral:rRNA from 1 species